UUGCUGGGACGUAAGUUUCUCAGACUGAAAGGAAAAUUAAUGUGACUUUUCUUCAUAGAGAACUUUAAUUUUAUUUGUGGUGUGUUUGAUUCUGGAGCCCAUGAACAUCUGUGUUUAGGUGGAAGAGAAUCUGCAAUGUUACUGGUAAUACAUGAAACUUACAUGACUGAAAUCAUACAAUGAAAUUUUGAAGAUACAUAACACAUAAUUUCUGCCCUGUUGCUGUAUACAGAUGACUGUGCAACACUAGA